UUCAUCUAAAACUCUGGAUAAGGUUUCAAAGGGCUUCCAUAGUUGUCUGAGCAGUGGCUGCAACGUCGACGAUGGUACAGGAUGCAGGAUUAGUUGUGCUUUCACAUCCUCUGACUGUGCACACAACUAACCAGAAAAGCCCAUUCACCCAUUUGUUCCAAACCAGCAGGUCCUAGUGAAGUGUCUGAAACCAACAAAGCUCAGUGAGCCCAAGUAUCUGGAUCCAACAACUCUCUGGUGGUAACCAGGACGGGCGUACUGACAGAUCUGCAAGCCGUGUGAAGCCUGCACCAGUGGAGAGCCUGACUAUUUCGAAAGCGAACUGUGAAAGUACUGGAGGCGCGGAACACGCAGUGCCAGUGCCCAACCGGGAACUAGAGAAUUAAAAGGAAUGAAGACAUGGAUAGAUGAUGCACCACAAACCUAUGCAACCAAUUUGUGGUAGAAACUAGCUAACUUUACGGCAAAGAACACGGGAAGAGAAAGGUAGUUGUCAUGUAUGCAUAUGCUGCAUAGUGAAUCUACACCAGCGGUAAAGGUAACCCCAUAACACCUAUUAAAAAAGGAACAUGAGUUAUAGGAGACCGAUAUUGGCAAUAUGGCCAUAAUUUGUACACUGCUCUGCUGGAAUUGUGGACAGGUAGAUGUGCCAUGGUAGACUUAAUUGACCACACCAUGGUGGUCUGAGCUAUUGAGAAAACAACAAACAGCAGUAGUAGUCAAAGUUAACCCAAUACCACACCGAGAGAACACAGAUUAUUGACAGGAACAGAGAAAUUCUUUGGAGCACGGUUCCCACAAGUGGGUGUUGCAGUAAUACAGAAAGUUGAAAUGACUAGAUAUGAACUGAUAUUUGUAUAUUUGACUUAAACAACAAUUGACGCAGUAUGCCAAGAACUAAAAAGGCUUAAGAUUAACAGCGCUACAAAAUUGACCGGUCCUUGACCAGUUAACAGCUACCAGUGGUGGAGUAUGUGUUAUCGUGGGAACGAGUUGCUAUACUUUCAUUCCAGAAAACAAUGAAGUUGAAUAUGACAUAAAAAUGGGCCUGAAAAACAUGAAGAUAGCAGCGGACUUGACAGUGGGAGAAACCGUAGAUGUCAACGACUUUUUGACAUGGUAAAAAAAAUUGUGAUUCCAUGUGCUAAAGCAUUGGUCAAUAGGACCAUUGAUAACGCUUUGAAUGCUAAUUAUGCUCUGAUAAACUUUGAAGAUGCUGAUAGAAAUGGUUAAGGGACACAUUGGGAGGAAUAUGAUGGUAAUGAGUAAAAGACAGAAUAUAAGGUAAACAAGAUUUGAUUUUUGAAUAGCCAUCUGAGGAUCGUGUCUCUUCGAGACAAAAGUGGGCAUUGUGAGGAAUAGGCAUCAGAUGGAACAACGUGACCUUUUUCUGCUGAUGCUUGCUUAUUUUCCUUGUAUGUUUUCAGCACUGUCUUGAGCACAAAAUGUACUUGAUAAGAAAUGUACUUCUUUUCCUCGUAUGUUUUCCUCUCGCUUCCUUCUGUAAGCGAGAGGAAACAACCCCAUAUAUGGAGGAUUGAGAAAGUUCGAGGUAAAGGGUGUAACCAGCCUUGUGUGACAAGAACCAUAUAAACCACUUGCUUGCUUUAAAUAAAUUGAAGAACUUCUUGUGA